CGGCGGACGGGUGAGUAACACGUGGGUAACCUACCUAUAAGACUGGGACAACUUCGGGAAACCGGAGCUAAUACCGGAUAAGAUAUCGAACCGCAUGGUUCGAUAGUGAAAGAUGGUUUUGCUAUCACUUAUAGAUGGACCCGCGCCGUAUUAGCUAGUUGGUGAGGUAACGGCUCACCAAAGGCAACGAUACGUAGCCGACCUGAGAGGGUGAUCGGCCACACUGGAACUGAGACACGGUCCAGACUCCUACGGGAGGCAGCAGUA
rnacentral:rRNA from 1 species